GCAGACAUAGUUUAACCAAAACAUUAGGUUGUGGGCCUACAAAU
rnacentral:tRNA from 1 species